UCCUGGCAGUAAACGGUGCACGUUUGGUGUGGGCGGGUUCAGACCCCGUCCGUGCCGGAGCUAACGCGUUAAACGUGCCGCCUGGGAAGUACGGUCGCAAGAUUAAAACUCAAAGAAAUUGACGGGGGCCCGCACAAGCGGUGGAGUAUGUGGCUUAAUUCGAUGCAACGCGAAGAACCUUACCUGGUCUUGACAUGCAUCUCUAAGUUAGUGAAAGCUAGCGAGUUUGUAGCAAUACAAACAAUUUGCACAG
rnacentral:rRNA from 1 species